AUGCUAUGAUGGUUGCAUAGUCCAUCAGAUUAAAUUAUGAAGAUAUUUAUCAUUAUCUGAUGAAAAC
ensembl:snoRNA